rnacentral:sRNA from 1 species
UAAAGAGAGAAGAUAGAAACAUAAAAUGUCGGAGAAGAAGGGAAGGAAAGAGGAGGUGG